rnacentral:rRNA from 1 species
UCGGGAAUUUUGGGCAAUGGGGGAAACCCUGACCCAGCAACGCCGCGUGAAGGAUGAAGUAUUUCGGUAUGUAAACUUCGAAAGAAUAGGAAGAAUAAAUGACGGUACUAUUUAUAAGGUCCGGCUAACUACGUGCCAGCAGCCGCGGUAAUACGUAGGGACCAAGCGUUGUUCGGAUUUACUGGGCGUAAAGGGCGCGUAGGCGGCAAUUCAAGUCAUCUGUGAAAUCUCCGGGCUUAACUCGGAACGGUCAGAUGAUACUGCUUUGCUAGAGUGCAGAAGGGGCAAUCGGAAUUCUUGGUGUAGCGGUGAAAUGCGUAGAUAUCAAGAGGAACACCUGAGGUGAAGACGGGUUGCUGGGCUGACACUGACGCUGAGGCGCGAAAGCCAGGGGAGCAAACGGGAUUAGAUACCCGUGUAGUCCCUGAGCGGGCUGGCAAGGCGCAU